GAUUGAACUACAGCUGCG
rnacentral:misc_RNA from 1 species